UCAACACUGUUUUAACCCAACAGUAGUUUCAAACACUGUUUUAACCCAAAACAGUGGUUUCAAAACACUGUUUUAACCCAAAACAGUGGAUUCGCUCAGCAGUAUCUUGGAGCUUUCAUGAUAGAGAUAUUGCUCCUGAUACCGAAACAUUGGAGGAAACCAAUGCAAAUCUGGAUGAAGUUGUAGCUCUUGCGAAAGAACUUCAGGGGACCAGGAUCCGCCUUUAUGGAGCACGGCUCAAUUGUUUAUGCAUCCCCGCUACAUGCAUGGUGGUGCCACCAGCCCUGAAAUUGGCGUUUAUGCAUACGCUGCAGCUCAAGUUAAGAAAGCAAUAACGGUGGCUAUAUUUCUAAUCCAGAGAAAUCGGCAUGCUUUAAUUGGUAGAGCAAUUGAUGAUCAUGAUAUGAAAAGGGUUCUUGAGCUUUUGAAAAACGACCCGGUUGUAGAUUCUGUAUAUGAUUGCAAAAGUGAGGUGAUUGAGCCUGGUUUUUUAGAUUUAAAGCGGAAAUAGAUUUCAAUGGAGUGACAUUGGUGCAGAACUAUCUUAGUCAAACCGGACCUGAAGAAUGGGCUAAAAAGUUUCGCAAUGCUGCAAAGGAGAAGGAUGGUGCAGAAAUGCUUAAGAUCAUGUCAUUCUAUGGUGAAGAGGUGGUUACGGCGCUCAGUAGUGAAGUCGAUAGGCUUGAGAAGGAAAUACAGGAAAUCGUUCCUGGCAUUAGACAUGUUGAUAUUGAGGCCCACAAUCCGAUCAUCCCGCCGCCAUGAAUGGCAGGAAAUCGUUCAUGGCAUUAUUAUUGUUAUUAUGGUCAUUAUUAUGUAGAUUCGGAUGGCUAAAUUUUGAUCUCCAUAGUGAAAUAAAACACAGAAUGUUGUUAAAGAAAUAGAAAAUCACACUCACGAUCCUUGAAUUUUUGUUCAUUUGUUUUUGAAGAUCUGAUUGCCUUAAUUCAAAGCUAUCUUUGUUCA